GUGUGUGUGUGAGUGAGUGUGUGUGAGUGCGUGUGUGUGUGUGAAUGAGUGAGUGAGUGUGUGUGAGUGAGUGUGUAUGUGUGAGUGUGUGGUGUGUGUGUGUGAGUGAGUGUGUGUGUGUGUGAGUGUGUGGUGUGUGUGUGUGAGUGUGUGUGAGUGAGUGAGUGUGUGUGUGUGUGAGUGUGUGGUGUGUGUGUUCUCAGAGAUCAAACUCUACUCCAGUGUUUGUGUUUUUGCCCUUUCUGAAGUGUGUGCCAUGCCUUGGCCCAUUAGAUGUAUAUAGAGCUGUCCGAGGGCCGUGUACAGUGUUCUUGUGUUGUGACUGCCUUGCUGUGUUCUCUCAGAUGGCCACUUUUCACAAUGUAGCCAACCAGCCAAUAAAUCUACAAUGAUCCCAGUUUACAGUAUGUCUGUAUAUCAAGUCUGGGGGCUAACAUCAUGUGUUCAUGUGCCAAGUCCACAGUCCCUUUUCUAAAGGAGCGUAGAAAUAGAAUGUCUAUGAGUUUACCUGUCACAAUGCCGUGGUCAGACGGGCUUUUCCCCCUUUCUACUCAUUCUAUUUCUAGGAAUUGGAUAGAAUUCACUAGGAACAAAAACGUAUUUAUUUUCUCAUUUUACCCCCUAUUUAUGGUAUCCAAUUGUUAGUAGUUACGAUCUUUUCUCAUUGCUACAACUCCCGUACGGGCUCGGGAGAGACGAAGGUCGAGAGACAUGCGUCCUCCGAUACACGACCAAGCCGCACUGCUUCUUAACACAGAGCGCAUCCAACCCGGAAGCCAGCUGCACCAAUGUGUCAGAGGAAACACCGUGCACCUGGCGACCUGGUUAGCGUGCACUGCGCCCGGCCCACCACAGGAGUCGCUAGUGUGCGAUGAGACAAGGAUAUCCCUACCGGCCAAACCCUCCCUAACCCGGACGACGCUGGGCCAAUUGUGCAUCGCUCCAUGGACCUCCCGGUCGCGGCCGGCUGCGACAGAGCCUGGGCUCGAACCCAGAGUCUCUGGUGGUACAGCUAGCACUGCGAUGCAGGCGCCCUAGACCACUGCACCACCCGGGAGGCCACGUGCACACAUUUGAUUGUCACAUGCACACAUUUGAUUGUCACGUGCACACGUUUUAUUGUCACGUGCACACGUUUUAUUGUCAAGUGCACAAGUACAGUGAAAUGCUUAACUUGCGAGCUCUACCCAACAGUGCAGUAAUCAAUAUCAAAAUAUUAUAACUAAAAAUAAAAACAUUAGAAAUAAGAAAUUAAAGCGGAAGAUUUAUGCUGGCUCAGUGUUCAGUACCUCAAAGAGGAAGCUUUAGGCUGGCUCAAUGUGCAGUACCUCAAAGAGGAAGCUUUAUACUGGCUCAGUGUUCAGUACCUCAAAGAGGAAGCUUUAGGCUGGCUGAGUGUGCAGUACCUCAAAGAGGAAGCUUUAUACUGGCUCAGUGUUCAGUACCUCAAAGAGGAAGCUUUAGGCUGGCUGAAUGUGCAGUACCUCAAAGAGGAAGCUUUAGGCUGGCUGAAUGUGCAGUACCUCAAAGAGGAAGCUUUAUACUGGCUCAGUGUUCAGUACCUCAAAGAGGAAGCUUUAUACUGGCUCAGUGUUCAGUACCUCAAAGAGGAAGCUUUAUACUGGCUCAGUGUGCAGUACCUCAAAGAGGAAGCUUUACACUGGCUCAGUGUUCAGUACCUCACUAGCUCAGAGAGGAAGCUUUAUACUGGCUCAGUGUUCAGUACCUCACUAGCUCAGAGAUGAAGCUUUAUACUGGCUCAGUGUUCAGUACCUCACUAGCUCAGAGAGGAAGCAUUAUACUGGCUCAGUGUUCAGUACCUCAGAGAUGAAGCUUUAUACUGGCUCAGUGUUCAGUACCUCAUAGAGGAAGCUUUAUACUGGCUCAGUGUUCAGUACCUCAGAGGAAGCUUUAUACUGGCUCAAUGUUCAGUACCUCACUAGCUCAGAGAGGAAGCUAUAUACAGGGUCACUGCCAGUACCACAUUUACAAUGUGCAGGGGUAAUAGACUAUUGAGGUAGAUAGGGACAUAUAGUCAGGGAUACUGGAGUAUUGAGGUAGAUAUGGGCAUAUAGUCAGGGAUACUGGAGUAUUGAGGUAGAUAUGGACAUAUAGUCAGGGAUACUGGAGUAUUGAGGUAGAUAUGGACAUAUAGUCAGGGAUACUGGAGUAUUGAGGUAGAUAGGGACAUAUAGUCAGGGAUACUGGAGUAUUGAGGUAGAUAUGGACAUAUAGUCAGGGAUACUGGAGUAUUGAGGUAGAUAUGGACAUAUAGUCAGGGAUACUGGAGUAUUGAGGUAGAUAGGGACAUAUAGUCAGGGAUACUGGAGUAUUGAGGUAGAUAGGGACAUAUAGUCAGGGAUACUGGAGUAUUGAGGUAGAUAUGGACAUAUAGUCAGGGAUACUGGAGUAUUGAGGUAGAUAUGGACAUAUAGUCAGGGAUACUGGAGUAUUGAGGUAGAUAUGGACAUAUAGUCAGGGAUACUGGAGUAUUGAGGUAGAUAUGGACAUAUAGUCAGGGAUACUGGAGUAUUGAGGUAGAUAGGGACAUAUAGUCAGGGAUACUGGAGUAUUGAGGUAGAUAUGGACAUAUAGUCAGGGAUACUGGAGUAUUGAGGUAGAUAUGGACAUAUAGUCAGGGAUACUGGAGUAUUGAGGUAGAUAGGGACAUAUAGUCAGGGAUACUGGAGUAUUGAGGUAGAUAUGGACAUAUAGUCAGGGAUACUGGAGUAUUGAGGUAGAUAUGGACAUAUAGUCAGGGAUACUGGAGUAUUGAGGUAGAUAUGGACAUAUAGUCAGGGAUACUGGAGUAUUGAGGUAGAUAGGGACAUAUAGUCAGGGAUACUGGAGUAUUGAGGUAGAUAUGGACAUAUAGUCAGGGAUACUGGAGUAUUGAGGUAGAUAUGGACAUAUAGUCAGGGAUACUGGAGUAUUGAGGUAGAUAUGGACAUAUAGUCAGGGAUACUGGAGUAUUGAGGUAGAUAUGGACAUAUAGUCAGGGAUACUGGAGUAUUGAGGUAGAUAUGGACAUAUAGUCAGGGAUACUGGAGUAUUGAGGUAGAUAUGGACAUAUAGUCAGGGAUACUGGCGUAUAAAGGGAAUUCUUGAAAGUGACUGGUAGCAGAAAAUAAUGACUGGUAUAUAAAUAAUAAUAUUAAUAAUGAUAAUAAUAAUAAUAUUAUUAUGAAUAAUGAUAAUGAUAAUAAUAACAAUGAUAAUAACACCAAUGAUCAUAAUAAUAAUAAUAAUAUUAUGAAUAAUAGUAAUGAUAAUUAUAAUAUUAUUAAUCAUACAAUAAUAAUAUUAAUAAUAAUAAUGAUAAUAUAACGAUAAUGAUAAUAUCAAUGAUAAUUAUGAUAAUAUUAAUAAUAAUUAUGAUGAUAAUAAUAAUGAACAUAU